GGGAAUCUUCCACAAUGGGCGAAAGCCUGAUGGAGCAACGCCGCGUGGGUGAAGAAGGUCUUCGGAUCGUAAAGCUCUGUCCUCAAGGAAGAUAAUGACGGUACUUGAGGAGGAAGCCACGGCUAACUACGUGCCAGCAGCCGCGGUAAUACGUAGGUGGCAAGCGUUAUCCGGAUUUAUUGGGCGUAAAGGGAACGCAGGCGGUUUCUUAAGUCUGAUGUGAAAGCCUUCGGCUUAACCGGAGUAGUGCAUUGGAAACUGGGAGACUUGAGUGCAGAAGAGGAGAGUGGAACUCCAUGUGUAGCGGUGAAAUGCGUAGAUAUAUGGAAGAACACCAGUGGCGAAAGCGGCUCUCUGGUCUGUAACUGACGCUGAGGUUCGAAAGCGUGGGUAGCA
rnacentral:rRNA from 1 species